rnacentral:rRNA from 1 species
CUCGUAGGCGGUUCGUCGCGUCCGGUGUGAAAGUCCAUCGCUUAACGGUGGAUCUGCGCCGGGUACGGGCGGGCUGGAGUGCGGUAGGGGAGACUGGAAUUCCCGGUGUAACGGUGGAAUGUGUAGAUAUCAGGAAGAACACCGGUGGCGAAGGCGGGUCUCUGGGCCGUUACUGACGCUGAGGAGCGAAAGCGUGGGGAGCGAACA